UACGUAGGGGGCAAGCGUUGUUCGGAUUCAUUGGGCGUAAAGGGUGUGUAGGUGGCGCCGUAAGUCGGGUGUGAAAUUUCGGAGCUUAACUCCGAAACUGCAUUCGAUACUGCGGUGCUUGAGGACUGGAGAGGAGACUGGAAUUCAUGGUGUAGCAGUGAAAUGCGUAGAGAUGUGGAGGAACACCGAUGGCGAAGGCAGCCCCCUGGGUCAACACUGACGCUCAUGCACGAAAGCGUGGGGAGCAAACAGG
rnacentral:rRNA from 1 species